UCUGCAGAGCAAAGUUGACCCCACAAAACCACCCCAAAAGUCACAGAAGGAGAAGCGAGGGGACCAAGCGUCUGCGUUGUCACCCAAGAGGGCUGGUUCAGUUGGCUGAUGCACUUACAUAGAAGCAGGUGAAACACCCAUACGUGUAAAACAAAAGUCGGCUGUGAGCACUGCCUCAAGCUUCUGGAGACAUGCUAACCCCACCACGGACUGAACCCUUUAACUGUGAGCC